rnacentral:rRNA from 1 species
GAUGAACGCUGGCGGCGUGCCUAAUACAUGCAAGUCGAGCGAACAGACGAGGAGCUUGCUCCUCUGACGUUAGCGGCGGACGGGUGAGUAACACGUGGAUGACCUACCUAUAAGACUGGGAUAACUUCGGGAAACCGGAGCUAAUACCGGAUAAUAUAUUGAACCGCAUGGUUCAAUAGUGAAAGACGGUUUUGCUGUCACUUAUAGAUGGAUUCGCGCCGCAUUAGCUAGUUGGUAAGGUAACGGCUUACCAAGGCAACGAUGCGUAGCCGACCUGAGAGGGGGAUCGGCCACACUGGAGCGGAGACGCGGUCAAGACUACUACGGGAGGAAGCAGUAGGGAAUCUUCGGCAAUGGGCGAAAGCCUGACGGAGCAACGCCGCGUGAGUGAUGAAGGUCUUCGGAUCGUAAAACUCUGUUAUUAGGGAAGAACAAAUGUGUAAGUAACUAUGCACGUCUUGACGGUACCUAAUCAGAAAGCCACGGCUAACUACGUG